CCAGAGGCCAGUGAUAGCUAACAUGAUUCAAUUUAUAGUUCCGUCAUGUCAUGGAGCUACAUAUUUUUGAGAAGAAAAGGUUUAAAGAAUAUACUCCACCAAAGUUUGUAAAUAAAAUCCUAAUAGGUGGAUGCAUUAUUUCCCAUAAGAGUUGUAGUCACACUAAGUAAAUAAAAUGAUCCUAACUCUACAAUCCUUAGAUGAAAUUAGUUUACCAAUUUUAAAGAUAUUAACAUUUUCUCACUGUGGUGUGAGAAGAGGGAGAUUGGUGUAGCCACAAUUUAUCAUUUUUUCUAAAAAAGUCUUGAAAAUUGUUGUAUAUAAAUCCCUGUGGGCAUUAAAUUCUUCUCAGUGCUACUUAUAUACCGAAGAGUCUCAGUGCUACUUAUAUACCGAAGAGGUUGUGAGGUAGAAACAUAAAAUGCUUUUUUGCCCGAUACCUGUUUCCCAAAUGGGUGAAAUUAAACCCACUUUUCCCACUAGGAAGUGGCUGCCCCAAUGCCACCUUGGCCAUAAUCCACGUCUUAGAAUUCAAUGUCAGAUAUUAGAACACUCAUUCCAGUAGGUAAGGUUCAAACUUGUUCUUUCUUUUCUUUUCUUUUUUUUUUUUCAACUUCCAAAGCCCUCCUCCUCCAGGGCACACCAAAACAAGCUAAAAUUUUGUCCCCCAAAAGAACAAUGUGUCAUUCUGCUGUUGGUGGACUAGAAAAGCUCUCGCAGCCUCGUCUCUUCUGUGCAUCGGUGGAUAGAUGUGGAGUCAAGGCUCCUUAGUGCAGAGUCCCGCACUUCCUCAGCUGUGUGGGGAGAGCCUGACAAUGUGUCAGAUGUCAGAAGAUAAUUUGUCGAAGGAGAACCUGCUUUCUUCUAGCUUAACCUCUUACUGAAUUGUUUAUCUAUGCCAGUGAUGUAUGUGAAUUGACUCAGUCAGAAAAGAAAAGUUUCUAUGUAAGUGAUUAAUUAAAAAACCCAAAACUUUUAUUAACAGAUAACCAAAUUGUUUGAAAUAACAUUUGCUUACCUGAAAGCUUCGUCUCCCAAAACCUCAAGGUUUUUUUUUUUAGUAGACUUUUAAUUUUGGAAUAGAUUUAUAGAAAAAUUCCAGAAAAACAUGUGAAGAUGGUACAGAGAACUCUCAUUUACCCCACAUCCAGUUUCCCCUAUUAUUAAUGUCUUACGUUAGU
rnacentral:lncRNA from 1 species